ensembl:lncRNA
CCAGCUCUGACGACGCCCAACAGGGCAGGGCCAAAGCCUUGACAGACACCUUCUGGGAGCUGCAGAAGUGGGUGGAGCUAACGGACUCUAAGGUGUUGACGUUCUCCUACAAACAUGCACUAGUCAAUAAGAUGUACGGCAGAGCCCUGAAGUUUGCCUCCAAGAUCGUAGAAGAUAAACCCAGUAGAGAGAACUUGAAGAACUGCAUUCAGUCUCUCCUAAUGGCCUUAACUUAAUCAACCACGGGACCGUCAGCGCCGUCCAACUCUGACUCCAGAUCUAUCAGAACAACCUCCUCAUAUCUCUCUGGCUGUGGCCCAAACACCACCCUAUUCCCUAUAUAGUGCACUUCUUGUGACUAGAGCCCUGCGGGGGUUUCAUACGGCUGUGAUUUGAAAGCAGUGCACUCUAUAGGGAAUAGGUUAACAUUUGGGAGGCAUCCUAUCGGUUCUCUCUGCUGGUGUCAAAAGACCUUUCGGAUAAUAUUAUGGGAUGUCUUUUUAUUUAUAUUACAACUCAAAAACGUCAAUUAAACGACAAUAUUUUACGGAAUGUUAAGAUUUUAAAGGAAAUGUACUUUUUAGUAUUAUUUUAUAACCAUAUUCUUCCUGGGACGACAUGUGGAAAGUACCAACACGCAGUUUUGUUAUCACUGUAAUGGAAUUAUGUCACAAAUGAAUAAAAAGAUCUGGAAGAGUAAUUGUAUGAGUGUCUUAUGUAGUUAUCUGAUCCACCAGUGGACAACUUAGGACUUCCUAUAUCCAUAAACCCAUUUAUAUUUGACCAUAGAAACUGGAACAAAGAC